CUUUACUGAACAUGUACGUGCCUAGGAAGUCUCAGGAAUGGAUAGAAGAUAAAGUACAUAAUAGUUUCCUGAAGCAGCAGAAUGAAAGAACUCUCUGUGGCAUGAAAAUUUACUGCUAAAGUCAAGCCUUUGGCCUCAUCCUAUUCUGACAUCACAGGGAGGCAGCAGCUGAGGCUGUGGUGGGAGAAGAAUGACAAGAACUGAGCGUGGGCCACGGGCUCUUACCUUCAGCAACUUCAUCAGCUCUUCCAGCUGGACCAUCAGCUCCCGCCUGCUCUCCUGCAGGGCCGACAUCCUCUGCUCCAGUUCAUCCUUCCUUUGCCUAUCCAAGACGAGAAGCCUAUCAGAUAAAGAGACCCUCAAAGAUGGAUCUAAGGCCAGGUGAAAUGGAUUUCAGACCUGAUCCUGCUACUUACCAGUUAUGAGACGCUGAGCAAGUCAUUUAGCAUCCAAUACCUCAUAAAAUGGUGAUAAUGUCUGUUUUGCCUACUUCCUGGACUGUUCUGAGAAUAAUAGGUAAAAGUGCUUUGGAAAGUUUAGAUGACUAUAUAAAGGUAUUACUUAUAUUACCAGAGUGAAUUAAUGAUUAAAAAACUCUUUAGAAAAUCAAUGCCUUUUGAAAAAUAUAUAAAAUUAGCCCAAAUUUAGAUUAAUAGUAAAGAAACCAUAUUAAACUGCUCAGAGAAAACAGGGUCCAGUAGUAAGUACUUUCAGCACUAGACAGAUUCAAGAAGGAUGACAGAUCAGGACGGCUCCCUGUGUUCAAGAACAGUCACUUUUCCUUGAGGAUAGAUUUUAUGCCAUCUACUCCAGCUCAAUAUGUCCAAAACCAGACUUAAGACUUUAUUCCCUAAAUGGUUUUCUUGUCUCUGUCUCUUUUUUUUUCCUUGUCUCUGUCUCUUUUCCCUGUCUCUGCUAUUUUUCCUUCCAGGUGUCAUGGUUGAAAAACUCAGUCCUCUUUGUUACUUUCUUCUUUAUAUCCUGUAUUCAAUCAAUAACUCAAUUCAGAUCAUUCUUUCUUGGAAAAUGUAUGUGCCUAUCUUUCUAUUCCCAUUUCUCUCACUUUAUCUAAGCACUCCUUACCUCAAGCAUGAAACAGUCUCCUUAUGUGAUUAAUCCUGCUUUCUUUUUUUUUUUUUUUGUGACGGAGUCUCACUCUGUCGCCCAGGCUGGAGUGCAGUGGUGCCAUCUUGUCUCAACUGCAACCUCCGCUUCCCCAGUUCAAGUGAUUCUCCUGCCUCAGCCUCCUAAAUAGCUGGGAUUACAGGCAUCGCCACCAUGCCCAGUUAAUUUUUGUAUUUUUAGUAGAGAUGGAGUUUCACCAUGUUGGCCAGGCUGGUCUCGAACUCCUGACCUCAAGUGAUCCACCUGCCUCAGCCUCCCAAAGUGCUGGGAUUACAGUCGUGAGCCACCGCACCUGGCUCUUUCAUCUUUUAUGGUGAGGAAAAAGCAGUGAAAUAGAAGUCAAUGGCCUCAAAGUUGAGUAUCAGCACCAGUAUUUACCAAAUAUGCAACCUUAGACAAGUCACUUAGCCUCAGUUUUCUCUCUUCUAAAAGGGGACUAGUAACAGCAACAAUAUUCUGAGGAUCAUAUAAGGUAAUAAAUAUGAGAGUGUUCUACGAACUUUAAACUGCCGCUCAAAACAAAGCUAUGUUCAUUUCAUCAUCCCAUAAUGAUCUCAACAGACUUUCUAGCAUCACUGACCCUUGCCUGUGCAAUCGAGACCUACGCUGUCUAUCACAGCAGCCGCUAGCCACGCGUGACUACCGAGCCCCUGAAACAGGGCUAGGCUGAACUGAGAUGCACGGCAAUUGUAACAUACACACUGGAAUUCAAAGACUUAGUGCAGGAAACAGCAAAGUAUCUGGAUCAUGUUUUAAUACUGAUUACAUGUUGAAAGGACAAUAUUUUGAAAAUAUCAGGUUAAGUAAGAUAUACUAUUAAAAUUAAUGACGCCUAUUACUUUUUGGUUUUUCAAUGAGGCUGUUAGAAAUGUUUUGAUUAUGUGCGUGGCCUGCAUUUCUAUCGGCGAGUGCGGCUCUAGAUCCCAUCUACAUUCCUGUCCUUAGUACCACACCUCCUAUCUUAUGCCCUUUGUGUCUGGACCUCCAGCUUACGGUUCAUUUUUCCUAAGUGGGCUCCAUCAUUUUAUAACUCACCUCUCUUCCAAAUCUUAUUCAUUCCGUAAUGUCUGACCCAACAUCACUGUCGGGAAGCUGCUCCUGAUCACUUCAGCAGGGACUGCUUGAUUAAGCACUACAGUAAUUAGUGCUCCUCAGUGGUACUUAAUUUACUUUACUGCUGCCAUUCCUACCAUGAUGCAAAAUCCUUGAGGUCAGGGGAUGGGCCUUACUCAUCCUUGCAUGUAUUGAAGGAUUAAGAAAAUAUCAUGCAUCCAGUAUCACCUAAUUAACAUCUACUGAACUUACCAAAAUCAUGAUUUGAAACUCUCCAAGGGUUUCCAAUGACCUAACAAUUAAGACUUUCUAGAAUCUGAUCUCAAUUGCCUGGCUAAUUAUAUCUCCUAUCACUGGCACUCUGAAGAUUGAUGUAAUGAAUGAUUGAAAAGAAAUUCUUAGUUCCAAGACUCUUUCCCUUUUCUGAAAUGUGCCAUAAUUAUUUGGGGGGAAUCAUGCUGAACCCCAAGUGCACUUCCAAUCUGAAAUGUUUUGUCCUACACUCCAUCCAAAUCAUUAUCUACUUUUCAUGGUCUAGCUCAACUUCUACCACCUCCAUGGUUCCAAAUGCUUCCAGAGGAAAAUUAGACACACAAAGGUGGUAGGGAAUAAAUAUAGAUAUAAUACCUAUAUUAUAUAGGUAUUAUAUAUGUAAAAUCUUGUGUGUAUACAUACAUUAUAUUAUAUAUAUUUCCCUACACAGAUUUCUUAUCCAUACUGUUUAUUGACAUUGCACAAUAUUUUUUAACUAUCAAAUUAUUUUAUGUUUUGUUCCAAAACCAGAUUAUAAGUUUUUAGGAAGGACUCAUUGUCUUCUAGUCUUCAUACUCUCUACAUUUCCAGUGCAGUAGACCCUCGAUAAGAAGGAUCUACUCAUUCAAUGUUCUAGGAAGACUUCUUCCUCUGAACUCCUGAGCCUGGGUGUGAUAUUCUUUAUCUGUACUGUGUGUGACCAAACAAUUACGGUAUAAGCUGAACAUGAAUGAGCUACAGCUACAUCCAACCACAGAGAACGAUCCUAAAGGCUAAUAUGGUGGGGGUAGGGGGUGGAGAGGGAAGUCCUCUGGGACUAUCCCCACCAUAUUAGUAUAAUAUUUCUAUUAAGCUUAGAAAACAAAAAGCAAAACUAAACAGCUUAUUACAUAGGAUAGUGAUAAUGCGACAAUAUUGUUUUAAACACAAGGUAAUGAUAAACCAAAUUCUGGAUAGGCGUUCACCCAGUGGGGAAGGUGGAGGCAAGGAAAUGGGGUAAGGGAGAGGUACUUCUAUGGAUGGCAUUGUUUUAGUCAUAUUAUGAGUUCUCAAAUAGGAUGUGGGUUUAUAAGUAUUCAUUUGACUAUUACGCUUCAUAUACGUUUGUCGCACACACAUUCGUCAUACAUUUUAUUGUAAGCAACGUACCAUUAAAAAUAAUAAUAAAGGAAGAAAAGGCA
rnacentral:lncRNA from 1 species